CAUAAACAAAACUUUCAACUCAUCAGUUCUUCACAUCUCAAACACACCUACACAUGAAAAACUCUCCUGCUCACCUUCUUCCUUCUCAAUGAAGGCCAGCAGCCGACCGGCGAGACCACCGGCGGCAAGCCAGCGACGGCUACCGGCUACCACCGGUAAAAAAGAUCAAAGAGAGAGAGGGCGACGAGAUCGAAGAGGCUCUGACGACGAGAUUCACGUCUUGAAUACGGUAGGGCUUUCUCUUGAAGUUCCUUGAAGAACUCACAGAUGAAUGGAGCAGAUAGGUUCAUUGUGGAAACCUUUUAGAUAUUGUUAAAAUUGGGCAUAUCCAAACCCACCUAAAGGGUUUUUGGGUUGGGUGGCGGUUCUCGAAGAAAUUGGAUUGUUAAAAAGAAAUCUAUAGAUGUGGGUUUUGACCAAUCAGGUUUUGUUUGUUCUUCAGAUUUAUAGCAGAGAUGAUGUGUGGGAUGUUAAAAGUAGCGGAGAUGAUGUGUGGGUUAAUAGUUAAUUUGGGGAAUCUUCAGAUUUAUAACAAUCAGGAUGUUAAUAUAUUUUUUUGGUUUGUUCUUAUUCAUGAUUUAAGUGGGUUUGAAGAUCUGGGUUUGAAGAUGAAACUGAGUUUGAAGAUCUGGGUUCUUCGAUUGUUUAAUUUCUUCGAUUGUUGCUGAGUUCUGAACCGGUAGCUUUCAAUUGCAGUUCUGGGUUUGAAGAUAAAAGUGGGUUUGAAGAUCUGGGUUUGAAAGUGGUUUGAAGAUGAAAGUGGGUUUUAAGUUCUAGGUUUGUUCAAGAAAGAUCUGCAGAUGAUGAUGAUUUGUUUAAGAUUUGAGUUUUAUUUAUAAAGUCAUAAAAGAGGAGGGGAAAUUACAAUUUUA